rnacentral:tRNA from 1 species
GGCCCGGUGGUGUAGUGGUCGCACAUUCCAUCAUUACGCGCUUCUGAGAAAUGAACUUGGAUGAGAUGUCGAGGUUGGAAAGGCCUUGGGUUCAAAUCCCAUCCGGGCCU